UUAUAACUUCCUACCAAAGAGCAUUUAUAGUAUUUAUUUUAUCCAUAGGAUUCUCCCUGGUGGCUGCAGCCUGCAGGCAUCUACCGAUAACCACUGAUGUCUGAUUGUAAGUUGUAACGUAAAAAAUGAAUGCACAUUCCAUGCAAACAAAUAUUUUAUAACUAUAAGAGCACGAAAUUGUAAUCAUAUAAAUAUAUAUAAUUAAUAAUAACUAGGUAUCAUUGUCACUGGCUCUGGAGGCGCUGAUAAAAUAUUUCAUACUCAUUUAAUUUCAAACACGAGUUUAACGCAGCGUUUGAUUUGUCACCGAUUCUAUAAUAUUCUAUCAAAUAUAAUAUCUUAUAUAUUAAUUAUAUAAUAAUAUAAAAAUGUAUUUAUAAAAAGUUCACCUCAAUCUUCAUCGUUCAUUAAUACACAAAUUCACUGUGAACAAUAACCUCAUAGAAUGCCAAGUGCUGAAGUGCACGGAAAGAAAAUUAGAGAAUCGAGUAGGCAUGCAUUCUAUCGUUUUUUCAAAUAUUAUUUUAUACCUGUAUCCAUACACAAUUAAUUUUUUUAAUAAUAUAAUGAUAGAAUUUUUGUUUCUGAAAUUUGUAUUUUGCGGAUUAUCCGCGGAAUUUACUUAUCCACGCGGUUGCCAUGCCACUCUAUUCCGAGGACAAUUGAAAGUUCACUGUAUAAUCCCGGAUCGACACAUAUCACAGUAAAUUAUUUUUUUUUUCAAAUCGUUGCCACGAUAACAAACAAAUCGUGUAUUUUAAUACUCGAUAAAAUAGCUAAAACACCUGUAUGUCGAAAGGCGUCGUCGAUUGAAAGAUGUGUUGAAACUAAAUAAGCUCUCCGAAAGCUAAACCCUCUGAAGCCAACUGCAGUAGGAGGUGUAAGUGCCGCCGGAGAGUUAGAUCAAGGGCUCACGUCUCUUUUUCACAUUUUUUGUAAAGAAAAUUUUCGAAAAAAAUUGUUAUUUAAUCCGUUAUACGUGAAACUAGUAGAAUUUACUCAACAGGUAAUAAACGUACGUGGUUCGAUCCCCGGUCGAUGACAACAUUUUUGCACUAUUUUUUAAAUAUCUGAUGUCAAUAAUAUCGGACUUGACACUUAAAGUAGCUAUACCGAAUACGUUUAACGUAAAUUGAAAUGAAAUGAUAAUAUCAUAAUAUAUAUUUUGCUUUACCGAUGACCUUGCAGACGUAUAGAAACUAUAGCAAUACGUGGAACAAGCGAUGGAACGUGACUAGUUCGGCACAAGUGCUGAAUAGGAUAAGUUCACCGGCCGCCGAGUUUUAGAAGUUUUACUAGCCCAAAAAUUCGUUGAAUUGGAUUAGAACAAAUGGAUAAUGCUCUGAUGUUCCUAUACUGUAACAUACAUGUACACCGGAUGUUAAUGAACAUAUUUGUAUAAAUAUUUACAACAUCAAUUGUGCCGCCCAUUGCUUUUGACAUUGCUGUAAUAAAAAAAAUCUAAUACAAUAAAUCUAAUUGUAUAAAAUACAAUUUUAUGAUAAAUAAUGCGCGGUGUCUGCGGUGAUACAGGUACUAGAUGAGAAAUGACGAUGAAAGGUUCGAAAACUAUUAGCCCGAAUUCGCAGGAAGUACGCUAAAGGUUAAUUAUUUUUCAGAUAAAAAAGUGAGUUUAGUAAAAUAAUAUGAGGUACACGAAACCACGCCAAGUAUGUGUACUAACAUGUUUAUAUAUUAUAUUAUACAUAUAAACGGCCUUAAUGUUUUAUUUAGUUGAAUAUUGUAC